CCUUUCUUUCUUCUUCUUUCACCUCCGGCCGAGCCCUUCUCCCCUCCUUCCUCUCUCUCUUUGCUUCCCCCCUCCCACCUCCUCUUCUCCCUCUCGCCGUGCCACCGUGGGGCGAGCCUCCUCCGGGAGAUGCUUCCACCUCGGAGCCGCAGAAGGCGGACGCUUCCUCGGCCUGCAGCCGCUCCGGCGACUGCGGCCGAGGGGUGCCCUUCUCCAGGGUGGGAGCAGUGGGAGAGGGAGGGCCUAAACCUCCUCCAAAGUGAUGCCGGAGUGAGUUUUAGUCUCCGGGGACCUCCCUUACCCCGAUCCGACCACGGCGGAGGAGGAGAACCACCGUGACCGAGAAGGAGGCGCGAGAGACCCAGGACGAUCCUCCUUUUUUUUUUCCCCUCUUUUUCUUUCUUUAUUUUCUUUUAUUUUCUUUUUCUCCUCCUCCCUCUGUGGUGGCGCCACCACCUCCUCCGUUUUUCUUUCCAGAGUUUUCCCGCCUCUUCGCCUCCAUCCUCUCUCUCUCUCGCUCCCCGCUUCCUUCGUCUCCACCGGAAGCCCUAGCCCCUUUCUUUCUUCUUCUUUCACCUCCGGCCGAGCCCUUCUCCCCUCCUUCCUCUCUCUCUCUGCUUCCCCCCUCCCACCUCCUCUUCUCCCUCUCGCCGUGCCACCGUGGGGCGAGCCUCCUCCGGGAGAUGCUCCCACCUCGGAGCGGCAGAAGGGAAAGGGUAGGGGGCCCUGGACCUCCUCCGAAGUGGUGCCGGAGGAGUCAAACGGGUCCCCGAGGUGGGGCCGAGCCCCUGGGAGCUCCCCUGAGGAGGCGGACGCUUCCUCGGCCUGCAGCCGCUCCGGCGACUGCGGCCGAGGGGUGCCCUUCUCCAGGGUGGGAGCAGUGGGAGAGGGAGGGCCUAAACCUCCUCCCAAGUGAUGCCGGAGUGAGUUUUAGUCUCCGGGGACCUCCCUUACCCCGAUCCGACCACGGCGGAGGAGGAGAACCACCGUGACCGAGAAGGAGGCGCGAGAGACCCAGGGUGGGAGCAGUGGGAGAGGGAGGGCCUAAACCUCCUCCAAAGUGAUGCCGGAGUGAGUUUUAGUCUCCGGGGACCUCCCUUACCCCGAUCCGACCACGGCGGAGGAGGAGAACCACCGUGACCGAGAAGGAGGCGCGAGAGACCCAGGGUGUAGCCAUAUCUGCUGAAGUUCAAAUGGACCAACAAUAAGCAUAUGUUGGUUGACUCUGAUUUAUUUUUGGAUCUGAGAUUGACUUGUUACAAAGCCAAAUAUCGUGUAUUCUAGGGGCUAGAUUCGUGAUUUUCUGUGGAAGCUGUCCUUGAUAAAUCCUAACCAUUGAUGUCUCUUAAGCAAGCAUAUCUAAUUGGUGGAACAACAUGCAAAGGUCGAAAAACUGUCCGAUCGCAGUAUUUCUUUAAGUACGUAAGUAUAUUUUGAUUUAUUUCCCAACAAUUUGCCUUACUAUUACCUUUAUUGCUUAUGGCUGUGCUUUCUUCAAUCAGAUUGGCUUUUUGAUCUGUUCUUGAUGUUCAACAAGCAUCAGUACAGCUAGUCAUAUUUUAGAUUGGUAUACUAGAUUAAGUGAUUCAUGUGUUGCUGACCGGUUCUGACCAUAUCUUGAUUUGAAAGUACUGGUAGGUUGUGAGCUGGGAGGGAACCCUCUUGAGUCAUAUUCAGAUUUGCGGUAAACCUUAUUUAUUUAUUGCAGUAGACCUGAUUAUCUAAUGCUCGAGAUUUUGUGAGCUUGUCAUGCAAGACAUAAGCUUCAAAAUGGCUUUUAUAAUGGUUCCAUGCUUUAGAUGGAGCACGGGCAGGCAUACAAUGUGACGGAUAAUCGCCUUCUCAAAGAGUUGGUUCUUUUCUCUUCUUUGCGUGGCAGCUUCUCUAGCAAUAGGCGAGGAACUUCUGGAAGUGAAUUCAUAGGAUUUGGAGGCUGAUGAAAGUUUUGGGAUAAGGAUGCUAUAAAAAAAGGUAAUUUUUGGUCUUGCAUGGAUUCUGUCAUCCUUCAUUAUUCUCUAUUUUCCAUCUUUUCUUCAAGUAAUAGUGUGAAAAAAGACGAAGUGGCUUGCUUAGAGGCCAACUAGUGCUGGCGAUAACUUUAAGUUCCAUUUUUGCGCUUCAUUUAUGUAGGAGUUGCAGAAGCCGAGGUAGAAAUUUCUCUAGAGUUGGUAUUAACUAGGGUAAUCUCUUUGGACUUUCCCAUGAUGAUGUCCUUAGUCUUGGUAACAGUUAUCCAAUCAAUCAAUUAUUUAUUCUGGUCCUUUGUCUACUUUUAUUUUUCCUGAUCUUGCUACUUAUCUCUAUAUAUCUGGUGGUAAUUUGAUUCACUUGUAAACUUUUAUGCUUCAGAGGCCUGGAUCAUACUCUAUUGCUAUGUGGUGGUCUAUCGGUUGCUGCUGCAGGAAUUUCUAUACAAUAGUUUGAAUUUGAUUUUCCACUACAACUGUUCAUGAAAUACUCUUUCCUUAUAAACUUAUUACUAUUGUUUGACUACUAGAAUUAUUCCGAAUUUGUUAUUUAUAAGAUUCACUUCUAUUUAUUUGCCCCUUUUUCUUCAUAGCUAUUUAUUUGCCCCUUUUUCUUCCUAGCUAUUUCGUAGUAUUAUUUGCUAAUCAAAUUGGAAAGGGCGGAAAUAAAAUAUAAAAAUUUUAUGCUUUGCAAGUUGGAAGGUCCAUUGUUCUGCAGGCUACUGCUGCAGCGUAUUGGAGACUGGACAAGAUUUUUGGAUCGCUAAAUGCCUUUCCUCCUACUCAACUCUGUAUACCAUUUCUUUUCCUACUCUUCUGUUGGUUGAUUUGUUCAUUAAAUAUUGCACUUUAUUCUUUUAUUGACAGCUUUUGAAUUUAUAUGUUAAGGCCAUUUUCUCCAGAAGGUUGUGAUGAUUCUUGGACCCGGGUUUUGCUAUGAAAGGAAAGCGGCUAUUUUCUUGAUGACGAGGCAAUCUUGGAUUUGGCAUUCUUGGCUGUUUGUGGUACUCCGUUUAGUUUGGUUCUGGUGGUUAUGUUCUAUAUUGUUUCGAUGUGCUCUCUCUCCCUCUUUUCAAUUGUUAAUGUUCUGGCUUGUGAAAUGAUCUCUGACAUGCUAAAUUCAUGGGAAAUCCUAAACCAUUAAGCUUAAAAGGUUGCUAUUUAGGAUUUCUCCGGAGGCUUAUUUCGUUAAAUGCUAAGACUAGUUCUCUGGUUCUUCAUAUAAAGAGUUUGGAUUAUUUUAUUGCU